UGCCUAAGAGAAAAAAGUCGAGCGAAUCUUUGGGAGCUUGCUCCCAAAAGUUAUUUUCCCACGGGUGAGUAACACAUGGGCAACCUGCCUAUAAGACUGGGAUAACUUCGGGAAACCGGAGCUAAUACCGGAUAAUUCUUUUCUACACAUGUAAAAAAGCUGAAAGACGGUUUCGGCUGUCACUUACAGAUGGGCCCGCGGCGCAUUAACUAGUUGGUGAGGUAAUGGCUCACCAAGGCAACGAUGCGUAACCGACCUCAGAGGGUGAUCGGCCACUCUGGGACUGAGACACGGCCCAUACUC
rnacentral:sRNA from 1 species